AGCGUCCCUAAGGAUGAAUGGCUCCGAGCUCGCCGGCACGAGCGCGUCCAACCCCAAAUCCAAGGAGGAUCCCGCGGGGAACGGGCGCGAGGAGAAGGAGAAGAACCCCUUUGCCGAGUACAUGUGGAUGGAGAACGAGGAGGACUUCAACCGGCAGGUGGAGGAGGAGCUGCAGGAGCAGGAAUUCCUGGAUCGCUGCUUCCAGGAGAUGCUGGAGGAGGAGGAGGAGCGCGAUUGGUUCAUCCCGGCGCGGGAUCUGCCCCAGGGAAUGGCGCAGCUCCAGCAGCAGCUCCACGGGCUGCCCGCGGCCGACGCACGCGCAUCCCAGGAUAUCCUGAGCAAAAGCACCUUGAACCCGGACGCCAAGGAAUUUGUACCCGGAGUGAAGUACUGACCCUCGGCUCCCAGAGACUGAAUCCCUGCUCCAGGAAAAAUUUGGGACACACUAGGGGGGGAGGGGAGAGGGGCCGGCCUGGAGCGGCUCCGAGGGCCGGGAUCGGCUCCAAGGAAUUUGCUUUUCCCGAUUUUUUUUUUUUUUUUGGGGGGUUUUUUCCCUUCGGUUUUUAGCGGUUCUUCCUCGUUUGUUCCUGGGAUUUGGGCUCGUUGUGCCAGCGGGGAAAAUCUUGGGAAAAUGGUGGGGAAAUCCUGGGAAAAACUCAGGAGAAUCAUGGGAAAAUCCUGGGAAAAUCUUGGGGGAAUUGUGGGGGAAUUGUGGGAGAAUCUCCGGAAAACUGGGGGGGAAAUCGUGGGAAAAUUGUGAGAAAAUCCUGGGAAAAUCCUGGGAGAAUCCUGGGAAAAUCCUGGGAGAAUUGUGGGAAAAUCGUGGGGAAAUCAUGGGAGAAUCCUGGGAAAAUCUCGGGGAAAUCCUGGGAAAAUUGUGGGAAAAUCUCAGGAAAAUCACGGGAGAAUCUCAGGAAAAUUGUGGGGAAAUUGGGAGAAAAUCCUGGGAAAACCUUGGGAGAAUCUCGGGAAAAUCCUGGGAAAAUCUCAGGAAAAUCUCAGGAGAAUCUCGGGAAAAUCCUGGGGAAAUCGUGGGAAAAUCCUGGGAAAACCUCAGGAGAAUCUCGGGAAAAUCUUGGGAGUAUUGUGGGGAAAUCCUGGGAAAACCUCGGGAAAAUUGUGGGAAAACCUUGGGAAAAUAGUGGGAAAAUCUCGGGAAAAUCCUGGGAAAAUCGUGGGAAAACCUCGGGAGAAUCUCGGGAAAAUCGUGGGAAAAUUGUGGGAAAAAUCAUGGAAAAAUCGUGGGGAAAUCUCGGGAAAAUCUCGGGAGAAUCGUGGGAAAACCUCGGGAAAAUUGCGGGAAAAUCUUGGGAAAAUUGGGGGGAAAUCUCGGGAAAAUCUCAGGAGAAUCAUGGGAAAAUCACGGGAAAAUCUCGGGGGAAUUGUGGGA
rnacentral:lncRNA from 1 species